ACGAUAUGCUUUGGGGAGCUGUAAGUAAGCUUUGAUCCAGAGAUUUCCGAAUGGGGAAACCCAGCAUGAGUUAUGUCAUGUUAUCGAUAUGUGAAUACAUAGCAUAUCAGAAGGCACACCCGGAGAACUGAAACAUCUUAGUACCCGGAGGAAGAGAAAGAAAAUUCGAUUCCCUUAGUAGCGGCGAGCGAAACGGGAAGAGCCCAAACCAACAAGCUUGCUUGUUGGGGUUGUAGGACACUCUAUACGGAGUUACAAAGGACGACAUUAGACGAAUCAUCUGGAAAGAUGAAUCAAAGAAGGUAAUAAUCCUGUAGUCGAAAAUGUUGUCUCUCUUGAGUGGAUCCUGAGUACGACGGAGCACGUGAAAUUCCGUCGGAAUCUGGGAGGACCAUCUCCUAAGGCUAAAUACUCUCUAGUGACCGAUAGUGAACCAGUACCGUGAGGGAAAGGUGAAAAGCACCCCGGAAGGGGAGUGAAAUAGAACCUGAAACCGUGUGCUUACAAGUAGUCAGAGCCCGUUAAUGGGUGAUGGCGUGCCUUUUGUAGAAUGAACCGGCGAGUUACGAUUUGAUGCAAGGUUAAGCAGUAAAUGUGGAGCCGUAGCGAAAGCGAGUCUGAAUAGGGCGUUUAGUAUUUGGUCGUAGACCCGAAACCAGGUGAUCUACCCUUGGUCAGGUUGAAGUUCAGGUAACACUGAAUGGAGGACCGAACCGACUUACGUUGAAAAGUGAGCGGAUGAACUGAGGGUAGCGGAGAAAUUCCAAUCGAACCUGGAGAUAGCUGGUUCUCUCCGAAAUAGCUUUAGGGCUAGCCUCAAGUGAUGAUUAUUGGAGGUAGAGCACUGUUUGGACGAGGGGCCCCUCUCGGGUUACCGAAUUCAGACAAACUCCGAAUGCCAAUUAAUUUAACUUGGGAGUCAGAACAUGGGUGAUAAGGUCCGUGUUCGAAAGGGAAACAGCCCAGACCACCAGCUAAGGUCCCAAAAUAUAUGUUAAGUGGAAAAGGAUGUGGCGUUGCCCAGACAACUAGGAUGUUGGCUUAGAAGCAGCCAUCAUUUAAAGAGUGCGUAAUAGCUCACUAGUCGAGUGACACUGCGCCGAAAAUGUACCGGGGCUAAACAUAUUACCGAAGCUGUGGAUUGUCCUUUGGACAAUGGUAGGAGAGCGUUCUAAGGGCGUUGAAGCAUGAUCGUAAGGACAUGUGGAGCGCUUAGAAGUGAGAAUGCCGGUGUGAGUAGCGAAAGACGGGUGAGAAUCCCGUCCACCGAUUGACUAAGGUUUCCAGAGGAAGGCUCGUCCGCUCUGGGUUAGUCGGGUCCUAAGCUGAGGCCGACAGGCGUAGGCGAUGGAUAACAGGUUGAUAUUCCUGUACCACCUAUAAUCGUUUUAAUCGAUGGGGGGACGCAGUAGGAUAGGCGAAGCGUGCGAUUGGAUUGCACGUCUAAGCAGUAAGGCUGAGUAUUAGGCAAAUCCGGUACUCGUUAAGGCUGAGCUGUGAUGGGGAGAAGACAUUGUGUCUUCGAGUCGUUGAUUUCACACUGCCGAGAAAAGCCUCUAGAUAGAAAAUAGGUGCCCGUACCGCAAACCGACACAGGUAGUCAAGAUGAGAAUUCUAAGGUGAGCGAGCGAACUCUCGUUAAGGAACUCGGCAAAAUGACCCCGUAACUUCGGGAGAAGGGGUGCUCUUUAGGGUUAACGCCCAGAAGAGCCGCAGUGAAUAGGCCCAAGCGACUGUUUAUCAAAAACACAGGUCUCUGCUAAACCGUAAGGUGAUGUAUAGGGGCUGACGCCUGCCCGGUGCUGGAAGGUUAAGAGGAGUGGUUAGCUUCUGCGAAGCUACGAAUCGAAGCCCCAGUAAACGGCGGCCGUAACUAUAACGGUCCUAAGGUAGCGAAAUUCCUUGUCGGGUAAGUUCCGACCCGCACGAAAGGCGUAACGAUUUGGGCACUGUCUCAACGAGAGACUCGGUGAAAUCAUAGUACCUGUGAAGAUGCAGGUUACCCGCGACAGGACGGAAAGACCCCGUGGAGCUUUACUGUAGCCUGAUAUUGAAAUUCGGCACAGCUUGUACAGGAUAGGUAGGAGCCUUUGAAACGUGAGCGCUAGCUUACGU
rnacentral:rRNA from 1 species